AGCUAGUUGGUGUGGUAAUGGCGCACCAAGGCAUCGAUCAGUAGCUGGUCUGAGAGGAUGAUCAGCCACACUGGGACUGAGACACGGCCCAGACUCCUACGGGAGGCAGCAGUGGGGAAUUUUCCGCAAUGGGCGCAAGCCUGACGGAGCAACGCCGCGUGAGGGACGAAGGCCUCUGGGCUGUAAACCUCUUUUCUCAAGGAAGAAGACAUGACGGUACUUGAGGAAUAAGCCACGGCUAAUUCCGUGCCAGCAGCCGCGGUAAUACGGGAGUGGCAAGCGUUAUCCGGAAUUAUUGGGCGUAAAGCGUCCGCAGGCGGCCUUGAAAGUCUGUUGUUAAAGCGUGGAGCUCAACUCCAUUUCAGCAAUGGAAACUACAAGGCUAGAGUGUGGUAGGGGCAGAGGGAAUUCCCGGUGUAGCGGUGAAAUGCGUAGAUAUCGGGAAGAACACCAGUGGCGAAGGCGCUCUGCUGGGCCAUAACUGACGCUCAUGGACGAAAGCCAGGGGAGCGAAAGGGAUUAGAUACCCCUGUAGUCCUGGCCGUAAACGAUGAACACUAGGUGUCGGGAGAAUUAACCCUUUCGGUGUCGUAGCCAACGCGUUAAGUGUUCCGCCUGGGGAGUACGCACGCAAGUGUGAAACUCAAAGGAAUUGACGGGGGCCCGCACAAGCGGUGGAGUAUGUGGUUUAAUUCGAUGCAACGCGAAGAACCUUACCAGGGUUUGACAUCCUGCGAAUCCCUUGGAAACUUGGGAGUGCCUUCGGGAGCGCAGUGACAGGUGGUGCAUGGCUGUCGUCAGCUCGUGUCGUGAGAUGUUGGGUUAAGUCCCGCAACGAGCGCAACCCACGUCUUUAGUUGCCAGCAUUCAGUUGGGCACUCUAGAGAGACCGCCGGUGAUAAACCGGAGGAAGGUGUGGAUGACGUCAAGUCAUCAUGCCCCUUACAUCCUGGGCUACACACGUACUACAAUGCUACGGACAAAGGGCAGCAAACUCGCGAGAGCUAGCAAAUCCCAUAAACCGUGGCUCAGUUCAGAUCGUAGGCUGCAACUCGCCUACGUGAAGGAGGAAUCGCUAGUAAUCGCAGGUCAGCAUACUGCGGUGAAUACGUUCCCGGGCCUUGUACACACCGCCCGUCACACCAUGGAAGUUGGCCAUGCCCGAAGUCGUUACUCCAACCCGCAAGGGAGGAGGACGCCGAAGGUGGGGCUGAUGACUGGGGUGAAGUCGUAACAAGGUAGCCGUACCGGAAGGUGCGGCUG
rnacentral:rRNA from 1 species